GAGUGAACGCUGGCGGUAGGCCUAACACAUGCAAGUCGAACGGCAGCACAGUAAGAGCUUGCUCUUACGGGUGGCGAGUGGCGGACGGGUGAGGAAUACAUCGGAAUCUACUUUUUCGUGGGGGAUAACGUAGGGAAACUUACGCUAAUACCGCAUACGACCUACGGGUGAAAGCAGGGGAUCUUCGGACCUUGCGCGAUUGAAUGAGCCGAUGUCGGAUUAGCUAGUUGGCGGGGUAAAGGCCCACCAAGGCGACGAUCCGUAGCUGGUCUGAGAGGAUGAUCAGCCACACUGGAACUGAGACACGGUCCAGACUCCUACGGGAGGCAGCAGUGGGGAAUAUUGGACAAUGGGGGCAAGCCUGAUCCAGCCAUACCGCGUGGGGGAAGAAGGCCUUCGGGUUGUAAAGCCCUUUUGUUGGGAAAGAAAAGCAGCAGGUUAAUACCCCGCUGUUCUGACGGUACCCAAAGAAUAAGCACCGGCUAACUUCGUG
rnacentral:rRNA from 1 species